UAACCUGCCCAAGAGACUGGGAUAACACCUGGAAACAGAUGCUAAUACCGGAUAACAACACUAGACGCAUGUCUAGAGUUUAAAAGAUGGUUCUGCUAUCACUCUUGGAUGGACCUGCGGUGCAUUAGCUAGUUGGUAAGGCAACGGCUUACCAAGGCAAUGAUGCAUAGCCAGUUGAGAGACUGAUCGGCCACAUUGGGACUGAGACACGGCCCAAACUCCUACGGGAGGCAGCAGCC
rnacentral:rRNA from 1 species